AUUACACACGCCUAUCCCAAAUGACAAGUACUCACAGAAUUCACGUUGAGUUUUAUUUUGUCUUCAACAUCGACAGUCAUCUGAGCAGCGGCGGUGGUCUCUGAAACUCCCCCAUGGUCCCGGCCUGGAUAAAGGUUACAGAUCCACUCAGCGGCAACAAGCAACACCCUUUCCACCGGCUCUUUAACAUCUCCUCAAUAACUCGUCAACUAUUCUCUCCUCAACAUACAGGACAAGUAUUAGGCAUUCUUUCAGUGGAUGUCAUCUGGACAGGAAAGGGUUAUCUGACAGGAAGUGGAAGUCCUCCUGCCGCCCCAUCCUGUGGCUGAAGGCCUGUGAGCCAGGAACCCCAGCACCCCCCACCUCUCUCUCUCCUCUCCUGUUCCUCCGCAGGGCACGGCUGCCCGCUUGUGUUUUGGUAAUCUUCAUCCACCCUGACCUGCUGGCCUGCUCCUGGCGCCAGCAGUCUCAGAGCCCCCAG
rnacentral:lncRNA from 1 species